CAGCCGUAAACUAUGCGCGUUAGGUGUACUGGUGACCACGAGUCACCGGGGUGCCGAAGGGAAACCGUGAAACGUGCCGCCUGGGAAGUACGGUCGCAAGGCUGAAACUUAAAGGAAUUGGCCGGGGGAGCACCACAACGGGUGGAGCCUGCGGUUUAAUUGGACUCAACGCCGGAAAUCUCACCGGAUAGGACAGACAUAUGAUAGUCGGGCUGAAGACUCUACUUGAUGAUCUGAGAGGAGGUGCAUGGCGUCAGUGACU
rnacentral:rRNA from 1 species